UGCACUCUGCUGUGAAAUGGGCCAUUGC
rnacentral:piRNA from 1 species